CCCAGGUGCUAAGCCCCUCACUGCCCGGGGCCGGCGGGCUGGCCGGGCUGGCCGGGUCGGCCGGCCGCUCUGAGUGCGGGGCCGCCGAGCCCACGGCCACCCGGAACUCGCGCUGGCCCGCAAGCGCCGCGCGCAGUCCCAGUUCCCGCCCGCGCCUCUCCCGUCAUACCCCCAGCAAGCCGAGGGAGCCGGCUCCGGCUUCGGCCAGCCCAGAGAAGGGCCCCCACGGUGCAGCGGGGGGCUGAAGGGCCCCCCAAGCGCGGCCAGAAUGGGCGCCGAGGCCGAGGAGGCACGGAGAGCGAGGGAAGGCUGCGAGGACCGCCAGCAUGCUGUCACCUCUCAGUGUGACAGAGAAAACCAAGAAAUUAAAGAAGAGGGCUGAAUCCACUCAUACUGGAUGGAAGAAGAAAAGAUGACUUAUCUGCUGAGAAGCUUAUGAGUGGCUACAAGGAGUCUCACUGUGUAACCAAGUCUGGUCUCCAAUUCCUGGCCUCAAGUGAUCCUCCCAUCUGGACCUCCCAAAGCACUGGGAUUACAGAGAUUUGAAGAAGCAAACUGGGCUAUUGUCAGCAUCUGUGUGGAGAGGUUCAGAUGACAAGGAACUGAGGACUGCCUCUGAUCAACAGCCCGGAAGAAAGAGAUAUCUUUUCUCAGCAAGUAGCAGUUCUUUUCUACAGUCAAGCCUCAGUUCAUCCUAUUUCCAACUGUCUGGAAGAAUGGUCCACAAAGGAGCCACGAUAAGAUGACUGAAAAGAAACCUCCAGUGAUCAUCCCCCCACAGGGGGAAAACAAAAUUGAACAACUAUUCAUGCAAGAAAGCACCUUCAUAAGAACUAA
rnacentral:lncRNA from 1 species